rnacentral:misc_RNA from 1 species
GAUGAAGAACGUAGCGAAAUGCGAUACGUAAUGUGAAUUGCAGAAUUCAGUGAAUCAUCGAAUCUUUGAACGCAUAUUGCGCUCUCUGGUAUUCCGGAGAGCAUGCUUGUUUGAGUAUCAGUAAACACCUCAACUCCCUUUUCUUUUUUGAAAUUGGAGCUGGACUUGAGUGAUCCCAACGCUUUCUUCCAAGAAAGUGGCGGGUUGCUUGAAAUGCAGGUGCAGCUGAACUUUUCUCUGAGCUAUAAGCAUAUCUAUUUAGUCUGCCUAAAAAACAGAUUAUUACCUUUGCUGCAGCUAACAUAAAGGAGACUAGUUCUUGUGCUGACUGAUGCAGGAUUCACAGAGACAGCUUCGGCUGACUUUGUAAACUCGAUCUCAAAUCAAGUAAGACUACCCGCUGAACCUAAGCAUAUCAAUAAGCGGAGGA